UUUUCACUGAAUAUACGAUUCUCCACUAGCUUUGUUGUUUUUUUUCUUGCAGCGCUUGAAAAAAUGUACUACUUCUUCUGUCAUGAUUUCUGAUGAGAAAUCCACUCUUAUUCAAGUUAUUUCUCCCCUAUAGAAUUCCAGCUGUAAAUAGCUCUCAUCAUCAUCCCCAUCACCACAGCUGGUAAUGAAGAGAAAUGUGCUGGGUAAAGAGGAGAGUGGCCACCAUUACAGUAAUGACGAAAAAUGGACAGAAAUGCUGCAGGAAUGGCACCUCCACUAUUUCCUGGUAUAAUUGGCAUGAGAUUCCUAUCAACAUGGGCCAUACUUGCUCCAAGACAAUGAGGAGGGGAGGCGACUUGAUCAAGGUCAUGACCAAGAAGAAAUGCAUAUGGCCAAGUUCUCUUUUAUCUCCGUGAAGUUAUCUCCCACACUACCCAGAGUGCUCUGCUUUCCCCUUGCAACUUAAAGGAAGACUUUCAAAAUGUCUGGAGCCCUAGAUGUCCUGCAAAUGAAGGAGGAGGAUGUGCUCAAUUUCCUGGCCGCAGGAACCCACUGAGGCAGCACCAACCUUGACUUCUAAACAGCACAGUACAAUAUGAAAGGGAAAAAAAGGAUGGCAUUACCUCAUAAAUCUGAGGAGAACCUGGGAGAAGCUUCUGCUGGCAGCUCAUGCCCUUCUUGCCAUUGAAAACCCAGCUGAUAUCAGUGCUGUAUCCCCCAUGAAUACUGACCCGCGAGCUGAAGUUUGCUGCUGCCACUGAGGACUCCUGCAGUGGGCGGCUUAGCUCCUGGAACCUUCCCUAAGCUGGGACUUCCGGUGGUUCCUGAUCCCAGGGCUGAGUGCCCGCUGCUCAGGGAGGCCUCCUAGGUUAACCCGUCCGCCCUGGCGCUGGGGAACACAGACUGUCCUGCACGCGAUAUGGACAUUGUCAUCUGCCUCAGAGGGGCUGAUGGGGUAGAUGCUGGACCGGAAGCUCUGCGCACGCGUGACGCCAUGUCCGCGAAACCCCGCGGUUGGUCCCGCCCGGUCUCUGCUUCUACA